rnacentral:rRNA from 1 species
UGAAUAUACCGGUUCUCGUUAGAUCACCGAAGUUAAGCAUCACGGUGGGCGGUCAGUACUUGGGGCGGUGACCACCUGGGAACAUCGCGUGCCGUU